rnacentral:rRNA from 1 species
GACGAACGCUGGCGGCGUGCUUAACACAUGCAGUCGAACGGAAAGGCCCUGCUUUUGUGGGGUGCUCGAGUGGCGAACGGGUGAGUAACACGUGAGUAACCUGCCCUUGACUUUGGGAUAACCUUAGGGAACUGGGGCUAAUACUGGAUAGGCGCUCCUGCUGCAGGGUGGGGGCUGGAAAGUUUCGGCGGUGGGGGAUGGACUCGCGGCUUAUCAGCUUGUUGGUGGGGUAGGGGCUUACCAAGGCUUUGAGGGGUAGCCGGCCUGAGAGGGUGACCGGCGACAUUGGGACUGAGAUACGGCCCAGACUCCUACGGGAGGCAGCAGUGGGGAAUAUUGCACAAUGGGCGGAAGCCGGAUGCAGCAACGCCGCGUGCGGGAUGACGGCCUUCGGGUUGUAAACCGCUUUCGCCUGUGACGAAGCGUGAGUGACGGUAAUGGGUAAAGAAGCACCGGCUAACUACGUG